GACGUAGGGCGCGAGCGUUGUCCGGAUUUAUUGGGCGUAAAGAGCCUCGUAGGCGGCUGUCGCGUCGAAUGUGAAAACCCGAGGCUCAACUUCGGGCUUGCAUUCGAUACGGGCAGGCUAGAGUUCGGUAGGGGAGACUGGAAUUCCUGGUGUAGCGGUGAAAUGCGCAGAUAUCAGGAGGAACACCGGUGGCGAAGGCGGUUCUCUGGGCAUUACCUGACGCUGAGGAGCGAAAGUGUGGGGAGCGAACAGG
rnacentral:rRNA from 1 species